GCGACUGUGGCUCAAUAGGAAGAGUAGUUGUCUUGCAAACAUAAGGUUGUGGGUUCAAUUCCAGUUCCCUCCUGCCAUA